rnacentral:rRNA from 1 species
AUUGAACGCUGGCGGCAUGCCUUACACAUGCAAGUCGAACGGUAACGGGCCUUCGGGUGCCGACGAGUGGCGAACGGGUGAGUAAUACAUCGGAACGUGCCCGAUCGUGGGGGGUAACGAGGCGAAAGCUUUGCUAAUACCGCAUACGAUCUACGGAUGAAAGCAGGGGACCGCAAGGCCUUGCGCGGACGGAGCGGCCGAUGGCAGAUUAGGUAGUUGGUGGGAUAAAAGCUUACCAAGCCGACGAUCUGUAGCUGGUCUGAGAGGAUGAUCAGCCACACUGGGACUGAGACACGGCCCAGACUCCUACGGGAGGCAGCAGUGGGGAAUUUUGGACAAUGGGCGCAAGCCUGAUCCAGCCAUGCCGCGUGCAGGAUGAAGGCCUUCGGGUUGUAAACUGCUUUUGUACGGAACGAAAAGCCUUCUUUUAAUACAGGAGGGUCAUGACGGUACCGUAAGAAUAAGCACCGGCUAACUACGU